UACGUAGGGACCAAGCGUUGUUCGGAUUUACUGGGCGUAAAGGGCGCGUAGGCGGCUUGACAAGUCACUUGUGAAAUCUCCGGGCUUAACUCGGAACGGCCAAGUGAAACUGUCAUGCUAGAGUGCAGAAGGGGCAAUCGGAAUUCUUGGUGUAGCGGUGAAAUGCGUAGAUAUCAAGAGGAACACCUGAGGUGAAGACGGGUUGCUGGGCCGACACUGACGCUGAGGCGCGAAAGCCAGGGGAGCAAACGGG
rnacentral:rRNA from 1 species